rnacentral:rRNA from 1 species
GCACAGAGAGCUUGCUCUUGGGUGACGAGUGGCGGACGGGUGAGUAAUGUCUGGGGAUCUGCCCGAUAGAGGGGGAUAACCACUGGAAACGGUGGCUAAUACCGCAUAACGUCGCAAGACCAAAGAGGGGGACCUUCGGGCCUCUCACUAUCGGAUGAACCCAGAUGGGAUUAGCUAGUAGGCGGGGUAAUGGCCCACCUAGGCGACGAUCCCUAGCUGGUCUGAGAGGAUGACCAGCCACACUGGAACUGAGACACGGUCCAGACUCCUACGGGAGGCAGCAGUGGGGAAUAUUGCACAAUGGGCGCAAGCCUGAUGCAGCCAUGCCGCGUGUAUGAAGAAGGCCUUCGGGUUGUAAAGUACUUUCAGCGGGGAGGAAGGCGAUGUGGUUAAUAACCUUACCGAUUGACGUUACCCGCAGAAGAAGCACCGGCUAACUCCGUGCCAGCAGCCGCGGUAAUACGGAGGGUGCAAGCGUUAAUCGGAAUUACUGGGCGUAAAGCGCACGCAGGCGGUCUGUUAAGUCAGAUGUGAAAUCCCCGGGCUUAACCUGGGAACUGCAUUUGAAACUGGCAGGCUUGAGUCUUGUAG